rnacentral:misc_RNA from 1 species
AAGUCGUAACAAGGUUUCCGUAGGUGAACCUGCGGAAGGAUCAUUAUUGAAUCUUUGAAGGAGCUGUCUGCUGGCCCCCCUCCCAGGGGGCAUGUGCACGCUCCGUUCAAAACUUUCCACCUUUACACCCUUGUGCACCUUCUGUAGGGUCGAGGCCGAGAGGCCGACGCCCUAUGUUUUUUACAAACCCUGUCAUGUAUCAGAAUGUCAUCGCGUGUAACGCAUCUAUAUACAACUUUCAGCAACGGAUCUCUUGGCUCUC